CACACAUAUAAAAGCUCAUAAAGAACCAAGAACACAAAGAGGAUACUCCAUUUCUUCAUAAGAGAUGGCAAACCACAAAACACAUAUGUGCUCACUUCUCAUUGCACUACUAGUCUUUGCAUCGAGUAUACUCUCUCUCUCUCUCUCUCUCUCUCUCUCUCUCUCUCCUCAGACUAUUUAUCUUUGUUUCUUUGGAUCUAUGAUUAUGUCCAUCCAAAUGAUUGUUCUUACAUAACUUUUCUUUACAUCAUUUGCAUAUAUAUGUAGCUUGGAAGCCCACCAUGCAGCUUCCACCUUGUUGGCACCACCCAGAGAAGUUCAGCAUAUGCUUUGCCACUUGGAGGGAAGAAAUAUGCAACAAGCUAUGCAUUGCCGAGAACUACGAGUAUGGGGCUUGUGCCAUGAUUUACCCAGUGCCGCGUUGCGUCUGCCACAAGCGUCAUUGUCAUGACACUUAACCAUGAUGAGUGAUGUAUUUAGGAUGUUUAUGUGAUAAUAAAGGGAUGGUGGUGUUUUUCAUCAUUUUGAAACAUAAGUAUUUAACAAAGUGAGCCUGAGUUCUUUCCAGUAUUGACCAAAAGACUUCUAAUGAACAUGGUUGAAUGUAUGUGUAUUGCUUGAUGAAUUUCACGAUUGCAAAGAGAGAUAAUAUUAUAUACAUGUAAUAUAUAAACAUGUAGUUAAAAAUGUCACAAAACUCUAGUCAUCUAAUUAUAUUAAUAAUGUUAUUUUAGAUCAUGCCAGACAUGAGCUGGUUCUCAGCAAAUCAAACCUUGAUUAAUUUCCCAUCCAAUUCUAUUAAAAAUGUUAUUUCGGUUGCAAAUAAUCACUAAGUAAUUGUCAUGAAGAAACCAAACUAAAUGGAAUUAUUAAAAUGCCCCAAACCUAUUUAAUACUGAACCGACAACAUUUAAUAAGUCCAUUUCAAUAUAAUAAAUAAUCAAACAUUUCAAAAUAAAUUGUAAAUUGAUGUGCUAGCUCCACACUUUCCAUAGUAUUUUGUGACAAGUUCAUCAUUUACAACAAAAGUCAAUUGAUCUGUAAAUAAAAUAAAAGCAAAGAAAACUCAACGAUAGAUUGAUAGAUGCAAAUAAAACUCAACGAGAUAUUUUUGGGUUUUUGAUAAAAUAGAUCUGGAAAAAGAGGUAAAUAAAUUGGAAACACAAAUAGCAUUGUAGAUCUGAAAAUAUAUAAUAGGAAAUAGACUCGGGGGCCGUAGAUUUCACUAGCGGCUUCUCUCAGAAAAAUAGUAUACGGUGGGUAAACAAAUUACUGUUGGGCAAUUGAUAGAGAAGAAAAUAAUUAUGACGAUAUCCAGGACUAUGAUCAUGCAUAUAGGCAUCAUGUCCAAGAUUAGUAGACCGACUCUUGCCUGCAUCUACUACUAUUACUCCACACAUCGACCGCUAUCCAGCAUGCAUCUAGUGUAUUAAUUUCAAGGAAACACGGAGUAAUGCAAUAAGAAUGAUGACAUGAUGUAGAUAAGAUCUAUUCAUGUAGGAAUAGACCCCAUCUUUUUAUCCUUAAUAGCAAUGAUACAUGUUUGUCAUCUCUCUUUCUGUCAUUCAGAAUAAGCACCGCAAGAUCCAACCCAUUACAAGGCACCUCUUCCCAUUGCAAAAUAAAUCAAUCAAGUUGGCAAAACAAAACCAAAAUAUUGGGGAAGAAAUAUGAGGCUAUAAUAAUCAUGCAUGGGUAGAUCUGAUUGUAAACUCAUAAUUCAUCGGAUCCCAACAAACACACUUCAAAAAGUCAUUACAUCAAAUAUAUCUCCAAGAACAUCGAGGAGAACAUUGUAUUCAGAAUCACAAAGAGAGAAAAAAGGCAUCUAGCUACUGCCUACGGACUUGUAGGUCUCUUGUAAACUACUCACGGAGCGCCAAUGAGGAUGGUGAACCCCUCCGUGAUCGUUUCCCCCUCUGGCAAGGUUCCAGAAUAGGGCUCUACAUUUGAUCUCAUGGUUCUGGGACUUGCGGCGGCUGGAAUUGUGUUUCGUCGACUCCCCUAGGGUUUUUGGAAUAUUCGGGUAUUUAUAGACCUGAGAGGCGACGGAGAAGCUUCCCAUGGGCCCCACAAGGCAUCAGGACACGUGCUACUUCUUGAGCUUGUGUCGGUUUUCCCUUGAAGAGGAAUGGGUGAUGCAACAAAGUAGAGAUAAAUAUUCCCUCACUUAAGAACCAAGGUAUCAAUCCAGUAGGAGGAACACACAAAUCUCCAAUGAUGGCACCUGCACAAACAAAAAAUACUUGCACCCAACACGAUAAAGCAGUUGUCAGUCCCAUCACUGUUACUUGCAAGGAUGAGAUCUGAUAGAGAUAGAUGUAAAACAAGAUAAAAUUAAAUAAAAGUUAGCGACGUAUUUUUAGAUUUUUGGGUUUUAUAGAUCUGAAAAUAAUAUGGUAAAGAUAGACCCCGGGGGCCAUAGGUUUCACUAGAGGCUUCUCUCUUGAAUGAAAACAUAUGGUGGGUAAAGAAAUUAUUGUUGAGCAAUUGGUAGAAAAGCGCAUAAUUAUGAUGAUAUCUAAGGCAAUGAUCAUGAAUAUAGACAUCACGUCUGUGACAAGUAGACCUACUCAUGGCUGCAUCUAUUACUAUAACUCCACACAUCGACCGCUAUCCAGCAUGCGUCUAGUGUAUUAAGUUAACAAGAAUGGAGUAACGCUUUAAGCAAUAUGACAUGAUGUAGAGCGAUAGAUCCAAUCAAUAUGGUAAAAACCCCAUCUUUUUAUCCUUAAUGGCAACAAUACAAUAUGUGCCUCGCUACCCCUUCUGUCACUGGGUGAGGACACUGCAAGAUUGAACCCAUCACAAAGCAUCCCUCCCAUUGCAAGAAAAAUCAAUCUAGUUGUCCAAACCAAAUCAAUAGACCAAAGACAAAUACAAAGAUGUCUUAAUCAUGCAUAAAAGAGUUCAGAGAAGACUCAAAUAAUAUUCAUAGAUAAUCUGAUCAUAAAUCCACAAUUCAUUGAUCCCAACAAACGCACCGCAAAUGAAGAUUACAUCGAAUAGAUCGCCGAAAAAAUCGAGGAGAACAUUGUAUUGAAGAUCAAAGAGGGAGAAGAAGCCCCGUCCUGAUCUCCUUGCUGAUGGAAACCGAAUAGGUGAUAAACCUGGACUAGAGUCUUGUGUGGUUAGUCAGGUCGUGGCCGACACCCUCGCUAGGCUUCCGCUUGAAGGUUUCCGAGUACAUGUCGUGUAAACGGCGGUAAGUGGUGAGAGUGUGUGUGAAGAAGUACACCCUUGCAGGGUUAUAUAUGAUCUACUCGAAUAGCCGCGUCUGCGGAUAUGGAGUACUUGGAAUGAUUAUAUGGUUCAUAGAUAACUUGAAGAGGAUACUCUAAAAUGCACAAGAUAAGCGUUAGUGUUAUGGAUGGCCUUCUUGUAGGGAUACGGGAGCAGAUCCAUAGUGGUGUAUUGAUAUGGUGAAUAUGUGGACUCGUGUGUGCCACAUCAAAGAAGUUACUGGUAAUUGUAGUUCAGGAUAGCCACCGAGUCAAAUCUGGCUUGAUGCAGUUAAACUCCACCACCCCCUUGCUGAUACUGAUGCAUAAGUAGUUAGUUUUGAUGUAAGUCUUGCUGGGUACAUUUGUACUCAUGUUUGCCUAAUUUAUAUUUUUGCAGAGAGACUUCAAUCUCACUAGUAGUUCCAUGUGGAGCUUGGGAAUUCGAGAGAGAGGUCUGGCUCCUUUGGAGGGUCUUGUAGAUAGACAAGCUUUUUAACCUUCUUUCUUUUUAGAUGUCUGUAGUUAGACAUGUUUAUGCUUCCGCCUAUGCUUGGUGCUUGUAUGACUUAAAUGCUGGGUCAUGAGACCCAUGUUUGUAAUACCUGGCUCCUCGGAGCCUAUUGAAUAAAUAUUUUGAAUCAUAGUGUUUUGUUGUGAUGCCAUGUUGUAUUUACACAUAUCAAGCAUAUUGUGUGUAUGUUAUUGAAAUUCUUGGUAUGUGUGGGAUCCGACACCUAGUUGUUUAUUCUUGGUAGCCUUCCUUAUGGGGAAAUGUCUCAUAGUUCUUCCACUGAGCCAUGGUAGUUCGCUAAUGCUCCGGAACACUUAGGUUGGCUGGCAUGUAUCCUUCUUUAUUCCUGUGUCUGUCUCUUCGGGGAAAUGUCAUGCGUUGUUCCUUUAAGUCCUUGUAGCUUGCUACAACUUGGGUUCAUACGUUGAUGAUCGGCGCGUUCAUUGUUGGGUUACGUAUGCCUGUCCCUGUAAGUUUGUGCUACCUUUGGUUUACGACUAGUCAUGUCAGCCUGGGUUCUCUGUCAUAUGGAUGCUAGCGAUACAAUCAUAUACCUGAGCCAAAAGGUGCAAAUGGUCCCAGCUAAGGUAAGGCUGCAGCCGUGGGGAUACCGUGCGUGAGGCUGCAAAGUGAUAUGAUGUGUUACAUGCUAGAUCAGUGUGACUUAGGAUCGGGGUCCUCACACUAAACCCUUCUGUCAUCGGUGUUCAGAAUAACACUUCAUGGUCUCGCAGCCCUUAUCCUCUCUGUGGCUUUCUCACCAUGAUCAUGGGUACCUGCAGGGAUGAAGAACGCUGACGAGACAACCGACAUCUAUGAAACUAUUUUAUUUCAUGCAUACGGUACAAUAAAUCAAAGCCCUUCCAUUGAUUUAUACAAUAAAUAUAGUGGGUUGCAAGGCCCUUGCCAUAACCCAUACCUUACUAGAGUACUCAUACAUGGAGAUCAGAUCACACGAAGAGCACAUCAUCGAACACAUCAUGAAGGAAGAUUGAUUGGUAAUAUGUCUUACAAUGGAUGUCGUGUGUGAUACAUGUUUACAAGUAUGAUCCAGUGGAAGAAGAAUAUGGUGGUGAUGGUGGAUACGGAGAUGGAAAUGGUAGCAACAAGGGUUGAUGAAGAUCACUCUAUUCUGGUUCUACUCACACUCGUCCAUAUUUAGCCCAUUUUGUGUAGAAACGCAAUAAAGAGAGGAUAUGUUGAAUCCUAUGCAUUCAUUAGUCAAUAGUGGAAAUGUCAGAAUGAAUAUCUAAGUUUAAAGAAAGGGUACAUGACUGUAACAAUAUCACUCAUCACACAUUCAUCUUUCCUGUUCUCGGGGGAUUCCUACCACAAUAGGUGGCCCAUAUGCACCCGAGGAGGCAAUUGUUCGGGAGAGCAAGCCCCCGAGCACCGACUGCCCACCUAGCCAUGCCCAGUAAUUGAUGACAUUAAGUCCAUCUUGAUGGGAUGGUGCCGAGGGGGACCUUGUUUCCACUCUUGUUGGCAAUAGUGUAUGGUAUCUACCGCUACAAGAUAAAAUAUAAAAAAUUAUUAUGCAAUGGAUGUAAUCUUAUCAACAAUAAGUGGAGCUGGUUGCUAGCAUUUUCAUAGAUAAUAUUAAAUAGUGCACUAUUCUUAGAUUCCUAUUGGAAGUGAUCAGACAAGUGAAUAUUUAAAAUCCCGUAGAACUUACUCCAUGGUAGAGAAAAUAAGACAUUUUCUCUUGCUUUGAUUGUGUGUUUUUUAAUACUUCCUUUGAUUUGUAAUCUAUCACCAAAAUGUUCAAGGGAAAAGAGCGUAAACGAACCUAGAUGAUGGUAGUGAAUUCGUGCAUGCACAAUGAUAAUAAACCAUUUUUUUAGAUAAGGAAACAAAUAAUAUCGCAUUAGUAUAUGCACUUGAUGAAUUAGCAAAACUGUGCGCUAUACCGGCAUAUAGUCACUUCCUUCUAGCUAUAGAUGAAACAAUGGGGAUAUAUCUUAGGGAUUUUCUUUUCAAAUAAUAUGGUACUAUACAUAUAUAUAUUACAAAAAGCGGUGCUAUAUCUUGAAGGUUCCCAAUUGUCAAAAAAUACANNNNNNNNNNNNNNNNNNNNNNNNNNNNNNNNNNNNNNNNNNNNNNNNNNNNNNNNNNNNNNNNNNNNNNNNNNNNNNNNNNNNNNNNNNNNNNNNNNNNNNNNNNNNNNNNNNNNNNNNNNNNNNNNNNNNNNNNNNNNNNNNNNNNNNNNNNNNNNNNNNNNNNNNNNNNNNNNNNNNNNNNNNNNNNNNNNNNNNNNNNNNNNNNNNNNNNNNNNNNNNNNNNNNNNNNNNNNNNNNNNNNNNNNNNNNNNNNNNNNNNNNNNNNNNNNNNNNNNNNNNNNNNNNNNNNNNNNNNNNNNNNNNNNNNNNNNNNNNNNNNNNCACACACACACACACACACACACAUAAAAGCUCAUACAGAACCAAGAAAACAGAGAGGAUACUCCAUUUCUUCAUAAGAGAUGAGAAACCACAAAACACAUAUGUGCUCACUUCUCAUUGCACUACUAGUCUUUGCAUCGAGUAUACUCUCUCUCUCUCUCUCUCUCUCUCUCUCUCUCUCUCUCUCUCUCCUUAGACUAUUUAUCUUUGUCUCUUUGGAUCUAUGAUUAUGUUCAUCCAAAUGAUUUUUCUACAUAACUUUUCUUUACAUCAUUUGCAUAUAUAUGUAGCUUGGAAGCCCACCAUGCAGCUUCAAUUUUGUUGGCACCCUCCAAAGAAGUUCAGCAUAUGCUUAGCCUUUUGGAGGGUAGAAAUAUGCAACAAGCUAUGCAUUGCCGAGAACUACGAGUAUGGUGUUUGUGGCAUGAUGGAGUACCCACUGCCGCGAUGCAUCUGCCACAAGCGUCAUUGUCAUGACACUUAACUAUGAUGAGUGAUGUAUUUAGCGUGUUUAUGUGAGAAUAAAGGGAUGGUGGUGUUUUUCAUCAUUAUGAAAUAUAAGUAUUUAAUAAAGUGAGCCCGAGUUCUUUCCAGCAUUGACCAAAAGACUUCUAACGAACAUGUUUGAAUGUAUGUG
rnacentral:lncRNA from 1 species